GAUGAACGCUAGCUACAGGCUUAACACAUGCAAGUCGAGGGGUAGCAGGGUAGCAGUACCGCUGACGACCGGCGCACGGGUGAGUAACACGUAUCCAACCUUCCCAUAACUCGGGGAUAGCCUUUCGAAAGAAAGAUUAAUACCCGAUAGUACUUUUUCAAGGCAUCUUGAGAAAGUUAAAGAUUUAUUGGUUAUGGAUGGGGAUGCGUUCCAUUAGAUAGUUGGUGAGGUAACGGCUCACCAAGUCUUCGAUGGAUAGGGGUUCUGAGAGGAAGGUCCCCCACAUUGGUACUGAGACACGGACCAAACUCCUACGGGAGGCAGCAGUGAGGAAUAUUGGUCAAUGGGCGAGAGCCUGAACCAGCCAAGUAGCGUGAAGGAUGAAGGUCCUAUGGAUUGUAAACUUCUUUUAUAGUAGAAUAAAGUGAUCCACGUGUGGAUUUUUGUAUGUAUACUAUGAAUAAGGAUCGGCUAACUCCGUGCCAGCCGCCGCUGUAACAC
rnacentral:rRNA from 1 species